AUGAUUGAAAAUGAUCACUGUGAAACAUGAGUCACAUGGCUGACUACAUGUCUGGAACUUUGAGAACUAC
rnacentral:snoRNA from 14 species